CCUACGGGGCGCAGCAGUGAGGAAUAUUGGUCAAUGGGAGCGAUCCUGAACCAGCCAAGCCGCGUGAGGGAAGACGGCCCUAUGGGUUGUAAACCUCUUUUGUCGGAGAACAAAACCCGGGACGUGUCCCGGACUGCGUGUAUCCGAAGAAAAAGCAUCGGCUAACUCCGUGCCAGCAGCCGCGGUAAUACGGAGGAUGCGAGCGUUAUCCGGAUUUAUUGGGUUUAAAGGGUGCGUAGGCGGUCCGUUAAGUUAGCGGUAAAAUUGCGGGGCUCAACCCCGUCGAGCCGUUGAAACUGGCAGACUGGAGUGGGGUAGAAGUACGCGGAAUGUGUGGUGUAGCGGUGAAAUGCAUAGAUAUCGCGCAGAACUCCGAUUGCGAAGGCAGCGUACCG
rnacentral:rRNA from 1 species